rnacentral:rRNA from 1 species
CAUGUCUUUUUGAUUAUAAUUUAAAGUCUAAUCUGCACAAUGAGGGAAUUAAAUUGCCGCAGUAUUUUGACUGUGCAAAGGUAGCAUAAUAAUUAGUUUCUUGAUUAGGAACUGGUAUGAAUGAUUGGACGAGAAAGUUUCUGUCUCUUUUCAAAGAAUUAUUGAAUUUUAUUUUUAAGUUAAAAAGCUUAAAUGUUUAUAAAAGACGAGAAGACCCUAUAGAGUUUAAUAUUUUUAAUGAAUUAAAUAUUAGGAAAAUAUUUUUAUUUUAAGUAUUUAGUUGGGGUGACUGGGAGAUUAAAAAAAUUCUUUUAGAUUUUAAUUGAUGAUGUUUAAUUUUUUUUAUCUAAAUUUUUUAAAUUUAAAAUUAAUUACCUUAGGGAUAACAGCGUAAUUUUUCUUUAGAGUUCUUAUUGAAAGAAAGUUUUGCGACCUCGAUGUUGGAUUAAAAUAAAUUUUUGGUGCAGUAACUUAAAAAUUGGGUCUGUUCGACCUUUAAUAUUUUACAUGAUCUGAGUUUAAACCGGUGUAAGCCAGGUUGGAUUCUAUCUUUAGAAGAAUUAUAUAUUUUAGUACGAAAGGACCAAAUAUAUAUUAUAUAUUAAUUG